rnacentral:snRNA from 1 species
CAGCUCAGGCCCGGUCUCAAAGCGAGCUAACCUUUCGCCUUUUACUAAAGGUUACCGUGCGAACGGGCCACUAUGAGCCUUUAGGCCAAUUUUUGGAUGGCCCUGAUCGUUUGACCGGGGCC